rfam:Brassica napus, WGS project CCCW01000000 data, contig: 1883
AGAAUAUAAGAAUCCGUUUUUUAGUUUUUAACUAAAAAAAACUAAGAACCGGUUCUUAAAUAAGAGUUUUAAGAGCCGAUUCUUAACUUUUUUAGUUAAAAGUUAAGAGACGGAUUCUUAUAUUCC